CAAAGAAUAGUUUAGUUUAGAAUCUUAGCUUUGGGAGUUAAGGGUGGGAGUUAGAAUCUCCUUUCUUUGA
rnacentral:tRNA from 2 species